rnacentral:rRNA from 1 species
GACGAACGCUGGCGGCGUGCUUAACACAUGCAAGUCGAACGGAAAGGCCAUGCUUUUGUGGGGUGCUCGAGUGGCGAACGGGUGAGUAACACGUGAGUAACCUGCCCUUGACUUUGGGAUAACUUCAGGAAACAGGGGCUAAUACCGGAUAGGAGCUCCUGCUGCAUGGUGGGGGUUGGAAAGUGUCGGCGGUGGGGGCUGGACUCGCGGCUUAUCCGCUUGUUGGUGGGGUAGUGGAUUACCAAGGCUUUGACUGAUAGCCGGCCUGAGAGGGUAGACGGGCACAUGGGUCCUGAGGGACGGCCCAGUAUCGUACGGGCCGCAGCGGUGGAGAAUAUGGCAGAAUGGGCGGAAGCGUGAUGCGGCAGCGCCGCGUGCGUGAUGACGUCCUUCUGGUUGUAAACCACUUUCGACGGUGACGAAGCGUGAUUGACGGUAAUGGGUAAAGAAGCACCGGCUAACUACGUG